rnacentral:rRNA from 1 species
AUUGAACGCUGGCGGCAGGCUUAACACAUGCAAGUCGAGCGGAGUGAUGGUGCUUGCACUAUCACUUAGCGGCGGACGGGUGAGUAAUGCUUAGGAAUCUGCCUAUUAGUGGGGGACAACAUCUCGAAAGGGAUGCUAAUACCGCAUACGUCCUACGGGAGAAAGCAGGGGAUCACUUGUGACCUUGCGCUAAUAGAUGAGCCUAAGUCGGAUUAGCUAGUUGGUGGGGUAAAGGCCUACCAAGGCGACGAUCUGUAGCGGGUCUGAGAGGAUGAUCCGCCACACUGGGACUGAGACACGGCCCAGACUCCUACGCGGGGCAGCAGUGGGGAAUAUUGGACAAUGGGGGAACCCUGAUCCAGCCAUGCCGCGUGUGUGAAGAAGGCCUUAUGGUUGUAAAGCACUUUAAGCGAGGAGGAGGCUCUUUUGGUUAAUACCCAAGAUGAGUGGACGUUACUCGCAGAAUAAGCACCGGCUAACUCUGUGCCAGCCGCCGCAGUAA